CGGGGCGUAGCUCAGCCUGGUAGAGCGCCUGCUUUGGGAGCAGGAAGUCGCAAGUUCGAAUCUUGUCGCCCCGACCA
rnacentral:tRNA from 1 species